rnacentral:rRNA from 1 species
ACAGAGGGUGCGAGCGUUAAUCGGAAUUACUGGGCGUAAAGCGUGCGCAGGCGGUUCGACAAGUCCGAUGUGAAAGCCCCGGGCUCAACCUGGGAAUGGCAUUGGAAACUGGCGGGCUGGAGUGUGGCAGAGGGGGGUGGAAUUCCGCGUGUAGCAGUGAAAUGCGUAGAGAUGCGGAGGAACACCGAUGGCGAAGGCAGCCCCCUGGGCUGACACUGACGCUCAGGCACGAAAGCGUGGGGAGCAAACAGGA